CCAAGAAAGAGAGAAACAAAGCUGCAAAAAGAAAAACUAGGGUUGUAGAGAGAAGAGGCAAAAGAGACAAAGAGAUAAGAGCUUAAAGAGAGAUUCAACUGUGGGAAGUCAUCAAUUCGGAAAACUAGAGGUAAGGGGGAGUCUCUAUUCAAAUAAGGUUGUAUGAACAUCUGGGUAGUGAAAGGUUUUGUUUUGCCUUAUUUUUUUUUUAUGAUUUUAUAAUGAAUUUAUGUUAAAUCCGUGCUUGAUUUACUGUUGUGAUUUUGUGUAUAUUCUUUUCUUUGAAUUCAUUAUUUUCAUGUGCUAAAUUCGUAGUUGAUACAUGGCUAUUUUUAAUUUUUAGGAUUUCUUCUUAAUUCUUUUUUUUUUUUUAAUGCUGUUGUGAUUAUAUGUGGAUCGAUGAUGCCACGCCUCUGUUCUUGAAUUUGCUACGGAAGGCUUUACUUAAAAUUGUUUUAAUUUUAAAUUAAAAAGGUUAACAAGAUAACUAUCUCAAUUACGGUUUGUUACGCUAAACCAUGCAAACCCCAAUUAAUUAUCAUAUGUACCACUGUAGUUUAAAGAGCAUAUUCAGUAAUGAGAAUGACAUGAAUUUUACAUUACUUGAAGCCAACACUAUGUUUUAUCCUUUUAUUAAUAUAACCAUUGUGUGUCAUUAUUACUUAAUUAUUCUCACAUCAUGUGAAAUUGAUUUCCCUGUGAAGUGAUAUAAAUUAUUUCUCAAGUUAUGAUCAGAAUGAAACAUAUAUAUUUUAUUGAGUCUCUUUUUAACGUUUUUUUUUUUUAAUAGUAACUCAUGUGAAAAAAAUUGAUGCAAUGUAUGUCUUAGAUGAUGGUAUAUAAUUGAUGAGUUUUUUUAACGAAGUACAAUUGAUGAAUUAUUUGAUUAAGUAUAAUAUAUGAGUUAAUUGAUGAUGUAACAUUGAUAUGUUAAUUAAUGAUGUGUAAUUGAAGUGUUAUUUAAUAAUGUUGUAUUUGACGAUGAUGCUAUUUAAAAAUGUGAUAUAAAGAUGUGAUAUUUUACGAUGAUGCUAUUUAAAGAUGUGUAUUUGUCGAGUCAUUUAAAGAUGUGCAUUUGUUGAGUCAUUAUUUGGUGUUCAUGCAUUCAUGGUCAGUCCGAUUUAAAGAUGUGUUUAAAGAUGGGGGAUAAAUCAGUAACAUAACUAUGAUAUCCAAAACCGAUAUCACAUGCAUAUAGAGUCGAGUUAGAGACAUUACAUACAUAAUUAUAGGUCUAUUUGAAAAGGUGUAAUUAAAAGAUGUGAUAUUUUACGAUAUGUAACUAUUUAAAGAUGUGAUACUCAAUGACGUGCUUCUAUAUGAUUAUGUGUGAAUGAUUUGUAUUUUUUUUAAUGUCUACUUGAUAUUCUUAAAUGUUGUUGAUGCUUAUAUGUUAUUAUAAGAUGUUGAUUGAUGUCUAUUUGAUUUUUUUUAAAUGAAAUUUUAUAUUUAAGUGUAAAUAUUAUCUGACUGUGAUGCAUACAUGUCUAAAUGUAAUUGUUGUGUUCUCUUAUCUGAAUCAAUACAUGUGUUUAUGCAUCUCUUACGUUGAAUAUAGUCUCACCAUCUAGUGGCGGGUUGGGCGCCUGCACCCUUGUGGUGUAAAUUUGCAGGAAGAAGAUCUUAGUUGCAGUGAGUCUUGGAGGAUGGCGUUGGGGCCUUCUCCUUUUUGUCUAUCGCUUUUUGGGAGUUUUAUUGAGUCGAAGCUCUGAUUAGUAACACUAGGGACCGAGGACUUUUUUUUAUUUUAGGCUCUAUUUUAGAGUUAUUUUGAAUUUAGUUUUGGUGUUGAAAUUGUGAUGCGACGUGUACUUUAAAGUUUUUGAAAACUAUUCCAUUGCAAUGUUUUUAAUUUGAAUGAAGUAUUUUUCAAUUUUUUUUA
rnacentral:lncRNA from 1 species